CGCUUACCGCUUUGUGAUUCAUGACUGGGGUGAAGUCGUAACAAGGUAACCGUAGGGGAACCUGCGGUUGGAUCACCUCCUUACCUUAAAGAAGC
rnacentral:rRNA from 1 species